AUCUAGAUGAUGAGUCCCAAAUGAGACGAAAUGCGCGUCCUGCAU
rnacentral:hammerhead_ribozyme from 1 species